UUUUCUCAAAAUCAAAGUUAUGAAAACCCUCUUCAUUCUUUUGCUUAUUUUCUCAAUUGAUUUCGGUAUGAGUUAUGAUACUUGAAUUUAUUUUGUUUGAAAUUUGAUGACUUUGUGUUUCUUCUAUUAACCAUGUUUAUGUUUUUUUUUUUACGGUAAUUAACCAUAAAUGUUAUGAUACACAAGAUUGGUGCUUUUGUACGGGAAAUGAGUUUGCAAAUGCUAGAGGCAAAACAAUGUUAUCAUGUCUUACCUCAUUUUUGUUAUACAUGGA
rnacentral:lncRNA from 1 species